rnacentral:rRNA from 1 species
AUUGAACGCUGGCGGCAUGCCUUACACAUGCAAGUCGAACGGUAACAGGUCUUCGGAUGCUGACGAGUGGCGAACGGGUGAGUAAUAUAUCGGAACGUGCCCACUCGUGGGGGAUAACUGCUCGAAAGAGCAGCUAAUACCGCAUACGACCUGAGGGUGCAAGGGGGGGAUCGCAAGACCUCUCGCUCUUGGAGCGGCCGAUAUCAGAUUAGUUAGUUGGUGGGGUAAAGGCCUACCAAGGCAACGAUCUGUAGUUGGUCUGAGAGGACGACCAGCCACACUGGGACUGAGACACGGCCCAGACUCCUACGGGAGGCAGCAGUGGGGAAUUUUGGACAAUGGGCGCAAGCAUGAUCCAGCAAUGCCGCGUGCAGGAAGAAGGCCUUCGGGUUGUAAACUGCUUUUGUCAGGGAAGAAAUCUUCUGGGCUAAUACCCCGGGAAGAUGACGGUACCUGAAGAAUAAGCACCGGCUAACUACGUGCCAGCCGCCGCCGUAA